rnacentral:rRNA from 1 species
AGAGUUUGAUCAUGGCUCAGGACGAACGCUGGCGGCGUGCCUAACACAUGCAAGUCGAGCGAUGAAACCCUUCGGGGUGAAUUAGCGGCGGACGGGUGAGUAACACGUGGGUAACCUGCCUCAAAGAGGGGAAUAGCCUCCCGAAAGGGAGAUUAAUACCGCAUAAUAUGUUUUGAUCGCAUGAUCAAAAUAUCAAAGGAUUCUCUUCGGAGUUUCCACUUUGAGAUGGACCCGCGGCGCGUUAGCUAGUUGGUGAGGUAACGGCUCACCAAGGCAACGAUGCGUAGCCGACCUGAGAGGGUGAUCGGCCACAUUGGAACUGAGACACGGUCCAGACUCCUACGGGAGGCAGCAGUGGGGAAUAUUGCGCAAUGGGGGAAACCCUGACGCAGCAACGCCGCGUGAAUGAUGAAGGCCUUCGGGUUGUAAAGUUCUGUCUUCUGGGACGAUAAUGACGGUACCAGAGGAGGAAGCCACGGCUAACUACGUGCCAGCAGCCGCGGUAAUACGUAGGUGGCAAGCGUUGUCCGGAUUUACUGGGCGUAAAGGAUGCGUAGGCGGACAUUUAAGUCAGAUGUGAAAUACCCGAGCUUAACUUGGGUGCUGCAUUUGAAACUGGGUGUCUAGAGUGCAGGAGAGGUAAGUGGAAUUCCUAGUGUAGCGGUGAAAUGCGUAGAGAUUAGGAAGAACACCAGUGGCGAAGGCGACUUACUGGACUGUAACUGACGCUGAGGCAUGAAAGCGUGGGGAGCAAACAGGAUUAGAU